UCAAUGUUCUCUACAGUUUUUAUGGUCAUG
rnacentral:piRNA from 1 species